rnacentral:rRNA from 1 species
GAUGAACGCUAGCUACAGGCUUAACACAUGCAAGUCGAGGGGCAUCAGGAAGAAAGCCUGCUUUCUUUGCUGGCGACCGGCGCACGGGUGAGUAACACGUAUCCAACCUGCCCUUUACUCGGGGAUAGCCUUUCGAAAGAAAGAUUAAUACCCGAUAGCAUAAUGAUUCCGCAUGGUUUCAUUAUUAAAGGAUUCCGGUAAAGGAUGGGGAUGCGUUCCAUUAGGUUGUUGGUGAGGUAACGGCCCACCAAGCCUUCGAUGGAUAGGGGUUCUGAGAGGAAGGUCCCCCACAUUGGAACUGAGACACGGUCCAAACUCCUACGGGAGGCAGCAGUGAGGAAUAUUGGUCAAUGGGCGCUAGCCUGAACCAGCCAAGUAGCGUGAAGGAUGAAGGCUCUAUGGGUCGUAAACUUCUUUUAUAUAAGAAUAAAGUGCAGUAUGUAUACUGUUUUGUAUGUAUUAUAUGAAUAAGGAUCGGCUAACUCCGUGCCAGCAGCCGCGGUAAUACGGAGGAUCCGAGCGUUAUCCGGAUUUAUUGGGUUUAAAGGGAGCGUAGGUGGACUGGUAAGUCAGUUGUGAAAGUUUGCGGCUCAACCGUAAAAUUGCAGUUGAUACUGUCAGUCUUGAGUACAGUAGAGGUGGGCGGAAUUCGUGGUGUAGCGGUGAAAUGCUUAGAUAUCACGAAGAACUCCGAUUGCGAAGGCAGCUCACUGGACUGCAACUGACACUGAUGCUCAAAGGUGUGGGUAUCAAACAGG